rnacentral:rRNA from 1 species
AUGAUGCAGGCUCAGGUUGCCGCGCUGGCGAUGCAGGACAUGCGACCAAGGAUGCCCGCCAUCCCCUUCUACCGUGCCGCACCAUGGCCCCGUUGGCCUUUGUGUAGAGCAUGCAUAUACAUCCAACCGGCCCGGAUGAGCCGGUUUCUCGACCGCGGACCACAAGUCGGACGCAAGCCGGUGGCUCUGCUGGCCAUCGCGCGCCCUCUCGGUUGCCAAACGUUUUUCUCCCAGCCGUUCCGUGCCUCUAACAUCUUUGGCAAUGCACGCCUUGUUCUUCCACGGCUUUGCUGGUUGUCUGUCACCGGCUGGACACCACGCGCGCGAGCUGCACAAGAUAUGCGUCCCGCCAGCACACCGAAUGUGCGAGCCGCCGUCACACGAGCUCCAUGUAGAAACUUUGCUCACAUACCACAUAAGGGGUAA